GAAAUGCGAUAACUAGUGUGAAUUGCAGAAUUCCGUGAAUCAUCGAGUCUUUGAACGCACAUUGCGCCCCCUGGUAUUUCGGGGGGCAUGCCUGUCCGAGCGUCAUUGCUGCCCAUCAAGCACGGCUUGUGUGUUGGGUCGUCGUCCCCUCUCCGGGGGGGACGGGCCCCAAAGGCAGCGGCGGCACCGCGUCCGAUCCUCGAGCGUAUGGGGCUUUGUCACCCGCUCUGUAGGCCCGGCCGGCGCUUGCCGAACGCAAAUCAAUCUUUUUCCAGGUUGACCUCGGAUCAGGUAGGGAUACCCGCUGAACUUAAGC
rnacentral:misc_RNA from 1 species